UCAGCUCUCUUGAAUUUAACUGAUAAUUGGCAACAGAAAAGAUAUGAUUGAUGAGAUAGUCAUUGAUAUUUGAAACAUCAUGGGAGUCCAUAAACUAUGGAGAAGAAUGGAGAAGAUUUAUUUUCAUAACUGACACAUCACAUAAAAAUAUGCUUGUUUUCCAUGAAAGGGAAGAGAAUAAGAGUUUGUCAACUAUAGGCCAGGGAGCUUCCUGGGAAAGUCCUAGAAUGGAUAAUGAAAAAGAUCAUUGGUGAAUAUCUAGGGAGAAAAGCUGUAACUACAAAGAGCCAGCAUAUAGCUUCAGCAACAGGCUACCAGGAAUUCAAGGGGACUCAAGGCGAAAGUGUGAAUCCUAUAGAAAGUGCCAGAGGCUGAAAACCCUGAGCUCUGGACAUUUUGAGUUUUGGAUAGAGCAGCACAACAAGAUUGGCAAAGGAAAGGAGAGAACUAUUCCAAGUGUGUUUCCCCUCUCAAGCUCCAAACAUCAGGAUAGCCUUUGUAGCUUAUCAUGUACAAGUACAGAUUCAAAGGAUACCAGGACUCCUGGAGAACAACAUGCUGCCCACACUCAUUACCGAACAAGAGAGAAUUCUUCUGAGAUGCCAACAGCAAUAAAACAUUUUUAGUGUCUGUUUCUUGGCCUCUAUAAAACAUUUUAUACUUAUCAGAUCCAAAUGAUGUGAUAUCACCAGAAAAAGUUUCCACUAGAUGAAGAUAUUGAAUAUGUGUUUUUUUUUAAAUGGAAACAUAACUUUGGGUUUAUCAUAUAUAAAAUUACUAUGGUCAUUUGCUAUAAAGUAUUGUGUACAAGAUAAUAUAUUGUAGCAAAUCACAUUUGCUACAAUGUAUAUAGGUAUAAUGUAUCUAACCUAU